GUCUCUAUAAGUCUGUCUUUAACCAAAAUAGAGCCUGAGUCUGUAGGUUAAGGGUUAUGCUUGCUUUUACUAUUAUUUCAACUUACUUUCCCUGCCCUGUAAUUCUUCACUAGCAGUUUUCUUUUUCAGAUUGUAUGUAACUAUGUUUCUUUGCUUUUAAAGGUUGGUGAUGUUGGGCUUGUUGAAGAUGAGACAGUGAUAGAGAAUGAUUGGACUUGAGACUCUGGUAGGUUUUGCUCUACAAAUAUCUUAUUUCACUGUUUCGAUGUACAUCUCAUCAUUUUUAUCUGUAUAAGUUGUUGAUUAUUCUGCCCCAUGUUGAAGUUGCAAUUUUCUUGCCUGGUAUUGUGCUUUUUUGCAAAAUUUCUGCUGUUUGAUCCUAUGAAAUUCUCAUGACUAGUUGCUCAUUUGAAAUAGAGUUGUAUUGUUUCAGCUUGCAAGUUUCAGUUGCUUUAGAACAUGGUCCCUUGAUAUAGAGACGUGAGUUGCAAUCUGAGCCCAGCUUGCAACUGUUGACUGUGCACUAGAAACCCUUUCCAUGGUUUUAUUGAUUUAUGGAUGAAUGAGGUUGAUAUGCUAAAUUCUCAUCAGAUAUCAAAAUUUCCCCUUUGUUAUGGUUAUUGGGAAUUGCUUUUUCUUUUCUUUAUUUUAUAUCUUAGAUUAUAUAUAUCUGAGAGCUUAAUUUCUGAUGUUUGCUAGGUAGGAUACAAAGUUGUAUAUCCAGGACAUCAAAACAUUGGGAAGGGGGGACUACAUAUUUUAUGCACUAGAAGCUCUCUGCUUAUUUCAUUGUGCUUUAUAUCAUUUCAUAUGUUUCUAGGUGCGGGGCUAUACUUUCAACAUUAAAUCAGAGGCUGUUGAAUCUCUUGAGUUGGAUUCUUUCGAUCAUUCAUUCAAGUUCUGUAAUUUCACUGUCAUAAUCAGAUACGAUUCCUGGUGAGGAUUCCUGGUGA
rnacentral:lncRNA from 1 species